rnacentral:lncRNA from 1 species
GUAGGUUUGGGUUUUGAGUUGUUUUUUUAUGUUUUGUUUUGGGGUUUUUUUUGGAUUUACAUUCAUACAGGCCAAGCAAAGCUGCUGUCUGGUUAAGAACACACAAACCAGGAUGGGUCACAGAACGACUGCCAUCAACUCACGAUGUUGAAAUGCAGUCUGGGUGAUGACAACAGCGAGUGCUACCUGCACUGCAGUUCUGCAAAUUAAUCUUGUGGAUGCUCACACACAUCGGGGCAGAGAAAAGCCCGCAGCACAGACAGCUUGAGCCACUGCUGCUGGAAGGGAGAAGGGUGUGCUGAAAGCAUGGGAGAGAAUCCCAUCCAUAAGAAAUUAAUCAACCC